CAGGUGUUGAAGGCUCCUUUGAAUUUGCACUCAGCCCUGGGGGUUGGACAGUUCCUUCCAGCCAGCAGGCACCUGCCCAAACAAACAGAUCUGAGAUACAAAUGGAGAAAUGGGAUGGUGGAAUUUGCCCAGGAAUGAAGAUUCAGAAAUCACUAAUGAAGUAAGGUGGGAAAUCAAACUAGGGGAAUAGAUAACAAAAUUGAAAUUUAAAAUAAGGGAUAGAAGGAGGUUGAAU
rnacentral:lncRNA from 1 species